UGGCUCAGUGGUAGAGUUCUUGCCUUGCAUGCAGGAGGCCCUGGGUUCGAUUCCUCAG
rfam:Dipodomys ordii contig_26173, whole genome shotgun sequence.